UCUCUGUUCGUAUAGUGGUUAGUAUGUGAGCUUGUCAUGUUCGACAUCGCUCGAGACCGGGGUUCAAUUCCCCGACAGAGAG
rnacentral:tRNA from 1 species